CGCUGUUCCGAGAAAAACGAACGACGUCCUUACAGUGCGGAUUCCUUAACUUUUCCCAUUCAUUUUCAACGGAAGUUCUUAUCACUUCGGAUGCGAUAUAUUCUUGGCCGCACGUUGAUAUUGCGUCGCUGUUCCGAGAAAAACGAAUGACGUCCUUACAGUGCGGAUUCCUUAACUAUUCGAAAUCGCCUGGCGCGAAUCAUUUCCCUGGGCUCCUUUUGGUGAUCAGCAUGUGGAGGCGUCUAUAUUUUCUCCCAGGUAGGCGCAGAUGUACUUCCGAAGAGGUCUGUGAAGUCCUUGGCAAAAUCGGAACAAUACCAGUACUUCAGGAGACCCAGCCUUCACCUUCCCUCCUGCCCUGGCUAUUCCAACUGCCCCAGUCCCAAGCCCAGUCUCCUUUAAUACCUAUGCAUAUCCACCAUGCUAAUAUUGUUACAAACAACAAUAUAUAGUUAUUCGUUGAUAUUUUUGUUGCUGUUGUUGUGUUUAUAUGUUCAUAAGAAUUGUAAUAUGCAAUGCCCUCCGUAAUGCUUGGGAUAAAAACAUUAAUUUAGCUCAGUACACCACAAUUUUAUAUUCAUAAACAAACGAUUCAAAGUGCAAGUUCUCAUAUUUUAUUAAAGGGUAUUUUUAUGCAUUCUGGUUUCACCAUGUAGACAUGACAGCACUUUUUAUACAUAAUCCCCCAUUUCAGGGCACCAUAAUGUUUGGGACAUAUUUAUGUGAUGUAAAUUACAGUCAUGUUUACUGCAUAUUUUCUGUCUGCAUGACUGGUUGAAGUCUGUGACCCACUGAGACAUGACUGUGGUCUUUUGUGGACAGUAGUCUCUGACACAUCCACGCCUGCCUCCUGAAGGGUGUUUCUGAUCGGUUGGACACAUGUUUGGGAUUUUUCUUCAUUAUGAUGAGAAUUCUUCAGCUAUCAGCUGUAGAGGUCUUACUUGGCUUGCCAUGCCCUAUGCCCCAUUACAUGUUCUCUCUCCUUAAUGCUGUUCCAAACAGUUGAUUUUGUUACACCUAAGGUUUGGCAUAACAAAGCAGACAUUACAGACUUUUUAUUUUAAUUUUUCAGUCUCAUAAUGGCUUCCUUGACAUUCAUUGGAAUUUGGACAUUCUGGCCCUCAUGUUUAAUGCCAACAAUAAUACAAACCAAAGGCAAGAAAAAGCCGAGAAAAAUAUGAUGUUUAUUGUUACUAUAUAUAAAACACACUGUAAUUUCAAUAUGGUGAAACCAAAGUCUGUAAACAUGCCCUUCAAUAUUUGCUGAGAAUAUGCAUUUUUGAUUACAAAUCUAAAAUUGUGGAGAACAGAGCCAAAUAAAAAUAUGUCUUUGUCCUAAACAUUACAGAUGGCACUGUAUAUAACAUUGUAAUCUUUUUUUGUGUAUGUAAUAAAUUGCAAUCAUUGAUCUAAUGUCAGUAGUGAUGUAAUGUCAGUUCUACAUCUAAUGUGGAACUUUCCACAUAUUGUUAUACACUGCUAUUUUCACAUACAUACUACUGUACUACUUUUAUGUUGCCUCAUUGUGUAAGUGUAAAUAUGUUCAUACGGUUCUGUACUUUAAUAAGCUAUACCCUUCACCUCAGUUACAUAUUUUGCAUGUUCUAUUUGAAAAUAUACACUCACUUUAUUGGGUAUUUAUUAGACGUAUUAGGUCUUCUGCUGCUGUAGUCUAUCCACUUAGAGGUUUGACGCAUUGUGUGUUCAGAGAUCUGUUCACUGAUAUGUGCAGUUAUUUGCAUUACUGUCAACUUCCUGUCAGCUUAGACCAGUCUGGCCCUUCUCCAUUACCUCACUCAUCCUCAAGCCAUUUCCGUCUGCAGAACUGCCGAUCACUGAAUGUUUGUUUGUUUUUCGCACCAUUCUGAGUAAACUCAAGAGACUGUUGUGGAUGAAAAUCCCAGGAGAUCAGCAGUUACAGGAAUACUCGUACCUUGCACCAACAAUCAUGCCACAGUCAAAAUCACUAUUGGUGGAUAUGAACAUGAACUGGAGCUCCUGACCCAUAUCUGCAUGAUUUUGUGCAUUGCACUGCUGCCACGAUUAGGUAAUCGCAUGACUAAGUAGGUGUACAGGUGUUCCUAAUAAAGUUCUCAGUGAGUGGAUAUUUUGGCAAUUGUCUGUACCUGUGUGCAUGGAUAGUAGACAAGUUGUAAAUAUUGUUGUCCUUCAGUUGCCAUAAAAACUUUUACCCAACAUCCAA